AUCAACUUUCGAUGGUAGGAUAGAGGCCUACCAUGGUGGUAACGGGUAACGGGGUGUUAGGGCACGACACCGGAGAGGGAGCCUGAGAAACGGCUACCACAUCCAAGGAUGGCAGCAGGCGCGCAAAUUACCCAAUCCCGACACGGGGAGGUAGUGACAAUAAAUAACAAUACGGGGUUCUUUCGGAUUUCGUAAUUGGAAUGAGUACAAUUUAAAUCUCUUAACGAUCAACAAUUGGAGGGCAAGUCUGGUGCCAGCAGCCGCGGUAAUUCCAGCUCCAAUAGCGUAUAUUAAAGUUGUUGCAGUUAAAAAGCUCGUAGUUGAAUUUCGGGAUCAGUAGGUCGGUCAUGCCUCUGGUAUGUACUGGUCUCACUGGUUCCUCCUUCCUGAUGAACCGUAAUGCCAUUAAUUUGGUGUUGCGGGGAAACUGGACUGUUACUUUGAAAAAAUUAGAGUGUUUAAAGCAGGCUAACGCUUGAAUACAUUAGCAUGGAAUAAUGAAAUAGGACGUUCGAUCCUAUUUUGUUGGUUUCUAGGAUUGACGUAAUGAUUAAUAGGGAUAGUUGGGGGCAUUAGUAUUCAAUUGUCAGAGGUGAAAUUCUUGGAUUUAUUGAAGACUAACUACUGCGAAAGCAUUUGCCAAGGAUGUUUUCAUUAAUCAAGAACGAAAGUUAGGGGAUCGAAGACGAUCAGAUACCGUCGUAGUCUUAACCAUAAACUAUGCCGACUAGGGAUCGGAUGAUGUUAAUUUUUUAAUGACUCAUUCGGCGCCUUACGGGAAACCAAAGUGUUUGGGUUC
rnacentral:rRNA from 1 species